CGGGUAACUUCCUGUAACUGACUGGUAUCUGCUAGCAUCAUUCAAAUGGACCAAAAGUUCUAAAAAACACCCAUCUCUCCUGUAUAUAAGUUGGCUUCAGUAGGGCACGGGUAGACUCAGGGCCAGGAGAGGAGUGACCACCGUACCAUAUCAGAGGGAAUCCUGACAUCACAGACCAGGCACUUAUCAAACCUAAGGAGAGUCCAGUCUGCAGUUUUGUAUCGGUGGAACAGAAGUAUCACUGGGGCAUUUAUGUCUAUCUGGGUUCCUGCAAUUUCCUCGUAGAUAUCCUUCACUUGUUUCCAGAAUAAGAUUACCUGGAAUUGUGAUUGGUUUGAUAUCUGCUGGAA